rnacentral:lncRNA from 1 species
GGGUCGACGCGGAGGAGGAGGUGAGCCCCCGCUACUUAGAUUGAGUUCCAAGUCCCGAGUCUCCGUGCCACUGCAUUUCCACCACGCUGUCUUGCCGUUCUUGAGCUCGUUGUGUUGUUCAUGGCGGAGUUCCAAGUAUGGUUGCCUUCCAGGAGCUUCUUGGAAACACAUAGAUGAACGCUGUUUCUUUACAACAAAACGUAGGCAUGAGUAUACUCGAUGCUUUUGCAUAGUCAAGUGGAGGGGUAGCUAAAUUUUCUUCCGCAGUAGCAUGAACGGGAGAUUCAUGGAUCCGGGUUGCCAGAGGAAUAGCUAAGGACAACAUGAGCUACUUCAAGAGCUCAAGUACUAGUUGCUUAUUUUGAGUUCACUGUUGGAUCGGUCAAUUUCUUUACCAGUAUCCAACAACAUCUGAUGCAGAUUGGUGGUCACAUUUUUGGUUGUGCCGCUCAGGUGAGGUGCUUCAUUGAUUUUGUUGGUGAAUGGGUAGUUUAUUAGCACUGAAUUGUUAGCUGCCUUUGCGUAGCCACCGGGAGGCCCUUGUGUCAUUAUUCCGCAUGGGCUUCAUAUAGACAUGAGUGUUCGGCCUGGUUUGUGGUAUAUUUUCCUCCUGGAAGCUUACACGGUUUUGCACGUGUCAGGACUGAAUUCUGCUCAAGUUUUGCUUAAUCCUUUUGAAGAAAACUAAUCGCCAAGUCAAGCAUUUGUGGGAUGAAAUUAGCGUGACUUUGUGAUGUGCAUUGCCUUAUGGUGGGCAGGAUUAAAAUGCCACUGUUUCCCCAUUGCCCUUUUUGUCAGUGAUCAUUGAACCACCUUCUUUCUGGACUGCAAACUUUAGCUUUUGUUUUCAUACUGAAAUAACAAGCUAAUAGUUGGUGUCUGCAAUUUUUGCAUUCUGAUGUUCACAACCCAUUAGUAAACUAAAUAAAAUAAAUAAUAAUAGUACAAGGCAAUGCUUAUACUAUCUCUUCAACAAACUAAAUAGAACUAGUUGUUUGUUUUCUGAUGUUUACAACCCAGAGCUUGGCUUCUCACUAGAGUCAGAAAAUCAGCUUAAAGUGCAACAAAUUGUUCAGAUGGACCAUCACUAAGCCGCGCCUUUAAUUGCUUAUGUCAUUUUUUACUUUUGAUUUUAUGUACUGCAGCAUUGAAUUGCACACCAGAUAGUAUACACAGAUUUGAUAGAUUUUUGUGGACCCAAUAGGUCCUUAUUUGAACCAAUUGUCUUUACCUUUUCCAUGUACAUGAUCUGCACGCCCUAUUUAUGGGCCUCCCCGUUAGGCCAUGGGCCACCAACUUCCUUAAGAGCAAUCAAUGUUUGCCCUUUGUUCCUAGCUUUUAUUGAGCGUCCUAACAAACUAUUUUGAAAAGCCUUGCCUUAUUUGGUGACGUUAACAUGUUAACAAAAGGAACUUGUGGUACCAAUGCUAUAAAAUUUGAUAGUCCAAGUAUACAUAUUGGCUAGAUGAAAACUCUGUUACUGGUACGGCAAUGAGAAUAUUAGUAGAGAGUUCUGAAAAUUAAUGGUUAAUUUUUACCUUGACACCGAGGAAGGUACGGCAAAAAUUUUCUGAUUUUUAGAUCAUUUGUUUGGAGCGAGUGUCAGAGCAGUUUUGUUAACCCUUGGCACGACUUUGCGCCUUGCUAAGUUAUAAAGAAGGGGUGCCUACAUCACACAAGGCUAUUUUUUCUCCCCCCUACACUGGAAUCUUAGUCCAUUGGAUCUGAAAUCAAUGGCUGUGAUAACCUCUUUUCCUCCCUUAUCUCCUUCCAUCCCUCUCUUGCCCUACCCUCUCUCGCAUCAUCCGCACACCUGCACCCCACCCUCCGCCGCCCUUGAGCCCCUCACCACCCCUGCCGCCACCCUACUUUUCUCCAGGGGCUCCCAUUGCCGAAUCCACCACUAGUCAUGGCCACUCCCACGCAAACUUGUUGGAGGUGCUCGCCGCUGCCGCCUCCACUGCCCUACCAAGGGUCCACCACAAGCCCAUCGCUCCUACGGGUAGGGCCGCCUCGCCUCCCUGCCGUCUCUCCUGCCACAACUGUUGAUUACCCUACCGCCCUGGGGCUCCUAGGGCCUAGGGCCGCUGGCCAGAGGUACUCUGCCUCCCACAAAACCUGAACCCUAAAAGCUCACUGGAGGUCACUUUAAAUUGCUAGAUUUAGAGAAGAAAGGGGAAUAGAUAGGAAUAUAAAAAAAAAUUCAGGUGUAUGAGAGAGAUAAAGUGCCUUGGUAUGGUAUUGCAAAGCUCUUGAAAGAAAUGAAAAGAUGUAACUAAUUUUUUUUUGCUGAUGCAUGCAAAAAGAUUGUAUCAUUUUACUGAUUGAGCAAUAGUAUUGGACUGAGUAAUGCAUGCAUCUUUUUUUCUUGUGCUUUCUGUAAGAAUUCCCUAAACAUGUAUUGUAGUCCUCGGUGAUAACUCAAAUCUGUUUGAGCCAAAAAAGUUUGCUGAAGAAAAACUUGUAAAAUCUUAUCAACAUGUUCAAGUACAGCUCGACAGGAACUUUUGUAUCCCUGUAGGCGAACUGGCUAUCCACAUGGCUUAACCAAUACCGUGCAAGCGGUUGCCUGAUCUUCCUGUUCCUAUGCAUUUCCUCACCAGUAGUGUGUGAGAGUAACUUGAGAGCAUCCGCAUGGAUGGUUUAUUAGCCUUUGUAUGGUUUAAUUAUCUUGGUAUAUAGUACAGGCAAAAACUUGCAGUAUACUCUAUUCGUAUUUGCUUUACACUGCUGUUUGCCUUCUUGCAGACCCCAAAAGUCCUUGAUGAUCUGUUGAGAGGAGCCUGGUGAUCGCCAAUGGUGACGCCUUCUCGCUGAGGAGGGCAUGGCUGGAAGAAGUUGGGAAUGAAGCGUCUUGGUCCGGGAGCGUAUACAUAGUAUUUUUUUGCGAGUAACAUCGAUAAUAUACCAGAUAAUUUUUUUCCAGUUUUUUCAGGCAGAGGCUAUUUUAAUUAGUAGCUAGUUGUAAGCUUAGGCAAAAUUCUUUCCGUGGCGAACUGUCAGUUCUGGUGGAACUGCAAUGUGUCUCUGCAGG